GGGGAAUAUUGCACAAUGGGGGAAACCCUGAUGCAGCCAUUGCCGCGUGUGUGAAGAAGGCCUUUCGGGUUGUAAAGCACUUUUCAGUAGGGAGGUAAGGUAGUGUAGUUAACACCUGCACUAUUUGACGUUACCUACAGAAGAAGCACCGGCUAAACUCCGUGCCAGCAGCCGCGGUAAUACGGAGGGUGCGAGCGUUAAUCGGAAUUACUGGGCGUAAAGCGCAUGCAGGCGGCCUGUUAAGUCAGAUGUGAAAGCCCGGGGCUUAACCUCGGAAUUGCAUUUGAAACUGGCAGGCUAGAGUCUUGUAGAGGGGGUAGAAUUUCAGGUGUAGCGGUGAAAUGCGUAGAGAUCUGAAGGAAUACCAGUGGCGAAGGCGGCCCCCUGGACAAAGACUGACGCUCAGAUGCGAAAGCGUGGGGAGCAAACAGGAUUAGAUACCCUGGUAG
rnacentral:rRNA from 1 species